rnacentral:lncRNA from 1 species
CCUCACCUGGCCAGUGGGAUAGAACCGGCCCCGGCUGGAGGAUUUGCUGACUAGCAGCUUGAAGUCAGCCAUGUGGGGACAUUGUAACCCAGGGAUUGCUGGAUGCCGUAAGAGCCAGUUCCGGGUUCAGCAGCAACGCACCUGCUGGAAAUGAGGACCAAGGAGACCAAGAGCAUUUCAGGGCCAGCUGCAUAGUGGCUGGGAUGUGCUGAGGAGGACUUCCCAGAAAGGUUUGAAUCGGACUUCCAUCUGCAUGGAGAAUACUCUCAGGUGCGUUGUUUAGACGUGUUGUCUCCAGAUAGAGCUGUUCCACCCAGAUGGGAGCAAGGAUCGCCACACAAGGGAAAAUACAGACCUCCCAGUCGCCCCCUGUGGGUGGAGCUAUAGACUCAGUAAACACUGGCCUGGCAGAGGAGACUUCUCGGUGGAGCUGCCUCCAGGUUGUGCUGGAGACUUGGGAGUACAGCCUUUCUGAGUGCUCACCUAUGCCAACGGGACGGCAGGGGCUUUAUGGUUAUGCAGCGGUUCAUGUUAUGUAGCGGCCUGUGAGUAGCCUCCCAUCCAUGCUCCUGUCGCUGACCCCAAGGUGCAAGGAGCCAUGUCAGCCAUGAAAAGACAGAUUGGGCGUUUCAAAUUGGUU